rnacentral:rRNA from 1 species
UAGGGAAUCUUCGGCAAUGGACGGAAGUCUGACCGAGCAACGCCGCGUGAGUGAAGAAGGUUUUCGGAUCGUAAAGCUCUGUUGUAAGAGAAGAACGAGUGUGAGAGUGGAAAGUUCACACUGUGACGGUAUCCUACCAGAAAGGGACGGCUAACUACGUGCCAGCAGCCGCGGUAAUACGUAGGUCCCGAGCGUUGUCCGGAUUUAUUGGGCGUAAAGCGAGCGCAGGCGGUUAGAUAAGUCUGAAGUUAAAGGCUGUGGCUUAACCAUAGUACGCUUUGGAAACUGUUUAACUUGAGUGCAAGAGGGGAGAGUGGAAUUCCAUGUGUAGCGGUGAAAUGCGUAGAUAUAUGGAGGAACACCGGUGGCGAAAGCGGCUCUCUGGCUUGUAACUGACGCUGAGGCUCGAAAGCGUGGGGAGCAAACAGGAUUAGAUACCCUGGCAGUCCACGCCGUAAACGAUGAGUGCUAGGUGUUAGACCCUUUCCGGGGUUUAGUGCCGCAGCUAACGCAUUAAGCACUCCGCCUGGGGGGUACGACCGCAAGGUUG